rnacentral:antisense_RNA from 1 species
AGACAAACUCUUAAUGUAAAACCACCAUCAGAGCCACCCUGGAGUUAUGGCAAGGCCACCACAGUCUCCUCCAAAGGCCACUGAUAUGGAACUGGGAACCUCCCUCCAUAGAAUGCUAAAUGGCUGAUGUGAACUUGGUUAAGGAUCUAUAAUUCUUCUUAUGAAGAGGAAAGUUCUGGAAGACCAAAGAAAAUAUGUCAUGAAAUCAAGCCAUUAAGAAGUUGUGACUCCAAAAAAGUAAAAGCGUGAGCUACUGUACACA